rnacentral:rRNA from 1 species
UACGAGUACCCCGAGCAUUAUCCGGAAUUAUUGGGCGUAAAGGGUGAGUAGGUGGGCGUAUUAGUCGAAUGUCAAAUCUUAGGGCUCAACCUUGAGACCGCAUUCGAAACGGUACGUCUAGAGUGUGUGAGAGGUAAGCGGAACUCUAUGUGUAGGGGUGAAAUCCGUUGAUAUAUAGGGGAACACCAAAAGCGAAGGCAGCUUACUGGCACAUCACUGACACUGAAUCACGAAAGCGUAGGUAGCGAAUGGG